GAGAUUUUUCUAAAGACCCAACAGACACUUUGUUGCUGCUCUAUGAAUUUGAAGCAAGAUCCAAGCUUAAUGAUCCAACACUCAAUAACUUCAUUGAAUCACUAUGGGAGCAACCACACGUAGAGAUCAAGACGCUAGAAAUCAUUGCAUCAACUGCUUACAUAGUUUGAUUAAUGUUUCUUUGCCAACCGGAGUGACAGACUUGGAUGCCUGUGUGCUGCAGGAGGUGUGGGGCUACUUUGAAGAUGCUCUGAGUGUAGUCAACAGCACAAUGAUUGGUCUUUACAGUGAGGUUCUGGACAAAUUGGACAGAGUAAAAGAGUGUCUUCCAAAUGAAGAAUGAUAGCCACAACUGCAGAAAAGGAGGACAGCAGUUGGAAACAUCCUGCUGAAGGAAAGAGGCUGUUAGCUCUGCAGGGGCACAGGAGCAGUGGAAAGGAAACCAGAAUCUCCCUCUUGUUGGCUAUUAAGUUAUGUGUUCAUUGAAUUCAUGUUAUUGUUUCCCUCUAGGAGAGUUUCAUUCUGUGGAGCUAUGUAGCAGAAAUAAAUAUGUAAGUUUCUCUUGAGAUGGUUCUGCU
rnacentral:lncRNA from 1 species